AUAAUGCGCGAUCCAAUCGGUUCCAUUUAGGAACAGCCCAAGCGCUGUGGGGAACAGGGUGAAGCCAAUAUGGCUAAAGCCCGGACUGCCCUCGCAACUGUAGGCGGAGAGUUGCAUUCCAGAUGGCUAUUGCUCAAACAAUAGCCAGGUCACUGGCGAAAGCCGGGAAGGCCGGAAUGCUAACAGUGAUCCGCAAGUCAGGAUAUCCACCGAUGGUGUUUUUUCGUU
rnacentral:ncRNA from 2 species